rnacentral:rRNA from 1 species
GGAGUAAUGUCUGGGAAACUGCCCGAUGGAGGGGGAUAACUACUGGAAACGGUAGCUAAUACCGCAUAACGUCGCAAGACCAAAGAGGGGACCUUCGGGCCUCUUGCCAUCGGAUGUGCCCAGAUGGGAUUAGCUAGUAGGUGGGGUAACGGCUCACCUAGGCGACGAUCCCUAGCUGGUCUGAGAGGAUGACCAGCCACACUGGAACUGAGACACGGUCCAG